AAAUUGAAGAGUUUGAUCAUGGCUCAGAUUGAACGCUGGCGGCAGGCCUAACACAUGCAAGUCGAGCGGUAGCACAGAGAGCUUGCUCUCGGGUGACGAGCGGCGGACGGGUGAGUAAUGUCUGGGAAACUGCCUGAUGGAGGGGGAUAACUACUGGAAACGGUAGCUAAUACCGCAUAACGUCGCAAGACCAAAGUGGGGGACCUUCGGGCCUCAUGCCAUCAGAUGUGCCCAGAUGGGAUUAGCUAGUAGGUGGGGUAACGGCUCACCUAGGCGACGAUCCCUAGCUGGUCUGAGAGGAUGACCAGCCACACUGGAACUGAGACACGGUCCAGACUCCUACGGGAGGCAGCAGUGGGGAAUAUUGCACAAUGGGCGCAAGCCUGAUGCAGCCAUGCCGCGUGUGUGAAGAAGGCCUUCGGGUUGUAAAGCACUUUCAGCGGGGAGGAAGGCGUUAAGGUUAAUAACCUUGGCGAUUGACGUUACCCGCAGAAGAAGCACCGGCUAACUCCGUGCCAGCAGCCGCGGUAAUACGGAGGGUGCAAGCGUUAAUCGGAAUUACUGGGCGUAAAGCGCACGCAGGCGGUCUGUCAAGUCGGAUGUGAAAUCCCCGGGCUCAACCUGGGAACUGCAUUCGAAACUGGCAGGCUAGAGUCUUGUAGAGGGGGGUAGAAUUCCAGGUGUAGCGGUGAAAUGCGUAGAGAUCUGGAGGAAUACCGGUGGCGAAGGCGGCCCCCUGGACAAAGACUGACGCUCAGGUGCGAAAGCGUGGGGAGCAAACAGGAUUAGAUACCCUGGUAGUCCACGCCGUAAACGAUGUCGAUUUGGAGGUUGUGCCCUUGAGGCGUGGCUUCCGGAGCUAACGCGUUAAAUCGACCGCCUGGGGAGUACGGCCGCAAGGUUAAAACUCAAAUGAAUUGACGGGGGCCCGCACAAGCGGUGGAGCAUGUGGUUUAAUUCGAUGCAACGCGAAGAACCUUACCUGGUCUUGACAUCCACAGAACUUUCCAGAGAUGGAUUGGUGCCUUCGGGAACUGUGAGACAGGUGCUGCAUGGCUGUCGUCAGCUCGUGUUGUGAAAUGUUGGGUUAAGUCCCGCAACGAGCGCAACCCUUAUCCUUUGUUGCCAGCGGUCCGGCCGGGAAC
rnacentral:rRNA from 1 species